UUUCCACACAUACAAAACACACUUUAUACCCAUAAAAAAAUAAUUUAAAAAAAUGAUAUGAACAAUAUGAUAUAACUAUAUGAUUUGCUAAUCGUUGCAGUUUAUUUUUAGCCCAUCGUAAAUUGCCAAGUCAGCAACAAAUCGAGUUGCAUCUUAUGCCAUGUCUAAUCAGCGAAAUACUUUUAAUAUCCGAACUUGAACAUGCAAAGAAUUUAUAUUCAGCCGUACCAUCCUUAUCGUGUUCUUUCGUACGUUUGUACGUUUGAUCAAGUGAGCCGAUUACAAUCGAUCUUUGAUUCAUUCACACCGUUCAUUUGAUAAUUCGAUCAAACACUACGCUGGUUUAAUUCGUCGAUCGUUUUAUUUUAUCACUUUCAUAUGCACCGUCAGUGUCUCAGUGAUAUGAGUGCACUUGAAGUGACUACAUCGGGCUACUUACGCUCGUUCACUUGAAAGGAAAUCCUCACCGCAGACCAGUAUGAUAUAAAUGAAAUGCGCCAUAUAUUUAGAAUUACUAGAUUGUCGUUUUAUCUCAAAUGAUAUCUCUGAUGAAUAAAAAAAAAAAAAAAAAAAAAAAAAAAAAAAAAAAAAAAAA